CUGAACAAAAAGUAAAUACAAACCGCGGCUUUUGAUAAAGCUAAUCGAGCUUUAUACAAAAGGGUCUACGCGUUGUCCGCGUUUAUUUUGAGAUUGAAGAAGAUUUUCUGAAUUCCUGAUUGACGAACACGGAACGAGUUUUUUUAGUUCUCAGAAUCUCUGCAAGUUGUACGUGCUGACUUUGUGAUGUGAAGAUCUUAUAUAAAAGACAACAGCGUUGAUAUCAAGUUCAUUUAAACGAGAG